AUACGUAGGUGGCAAGCGUUGUCCGGAAUUAUUGGGCGUAAAGCGCGCGCAGGUGGUUCUUUAAGUCUGAUGUGAAAGCCCACGGCUCAACCGUGGAGGGUCAUUGGAAACUGGGGGACUUGAGUGCAGAAGAGGAAAGUGGAAUUCCAAGUGUAGCGGUGAAAUGCGUAGAGAUUUGGAGGAACACCAGUGGCGAAGGCGACUUUCUGGUCUGUAACUGACGCUGAGGCGCGAAAGCGUGGGGAGCAAACAGGAUUAGAUACCCUGGUAGUCCACGCCGUAAACGAUGAGUGCUAAGUGUUAGGGGGUUUCCGCCCCUUAGUGCUGCAGCUAACGCAUUAAGCACUCCGCCUGGGGAGUACGGUCGCAAGACUGAAACUCAAAGGAAUUGACGGGG
rnacentral:rRNA from 1 species